rnacentral:rRNA from 1 species
ACACGUACUGUGCGAACGUUAUUCGGAAUCACUGGGCUUAAAGGGUACGUAGGCGGCCUAUCAAGUCAGGUGUGAAAUCCCACGGCUCAACCGUGGAACUGCGCUUGAAACUGAUAGGCCUGAGGAAGAAAGGGGUGUGUGGAACUUCUCGUGGAGCGGUGAAAUGUGUUGCUAUGAGAAGGAACACCGGUGGCGAAGGCGACACACUGGGUCUUUUCUGACGCUGAGGUACGAAAGCCAGGGGAGCGAACGGGAUUAGAAACCCUAGUAGUCC